CCGCCAUUAGCUCAUCAGGAAGAGCAACCAACCGUAAGCGUUGUAUAGUACGGGGUUCGAGGCCUCGAUGGCGGACCA
rnacentral:tRNA from 1 species